GCCGACCCGCCGAGUGCCGCGGAGCGGUGGGAUGUAGUUUUUAAUGAAUACCUCUAAGUUCUUUCCCGCUCCCUUCCCUGGGUUCCCGUCUCGUUGAGUGCUCGGCGCGGUGUCCAGAUCCACCGUGGAGGGAAUGCAAUCUUUGUCUUUCCCACUCCGGAUUCUGGCUUAAAAGCGUUUAGAUCAGACACGCACUAAGUACGUUUAUUUCCUUUUAGGGUGUCAUCUUGGUGCUCAAUCUCGAACGUGUAAAUGCCUUCUUAAUUACAUCCGAGAAAAGGUGUCACCUUCCAUUCAUUCCUCCACCUGUGGCCGCCAGAUUUCCGCCCCUUCACAAACAGCUUUGCAAACGUAUGACUUCCCGAUUGGACUGCAGAGCCAGUGGACACUCUUCACAACUUGCAGCAUUCUUGACUCUAUGCUGAUUCUGAUGUAUUUAAGUCAUAUGCGUAAGACUGGAUAAGAGAACUUAGCUUUAUUGGUAUAACCUGAUGAGGUAGUGGACAAAUCACCAUGUAAACUUGUGUGAAAAAUGUUUUGUAAUUUUUAUUUACAAAUUCCAUACUACAAAUAAAUUUUCGUUGUUUUAAUAGGAUCCUGAUUGA
rnacentral:lncRNA from 1 species